rnacentral:rRNA from 1 species
UACGUAGGGUGCGAGCGUUAAUCGGAAUUACUGGGCGUAAAGCGUGCGCAGGCGGCUCUGUAAGACAGAUGUGAAAGCCCCGGGCUCAACCUGGGAACUGCAUUUGUGACUGCAGGGCUGGAGUGCGUCAGAGGGAGGUGGAAUUCCGCGUGUAGCAGUGAAAUGCGUAGAGAUGCGGAGGAACACCGAUGGCGAAGGCAGCCUCCUGGGAUGACACUGACGCUCAUGCACGAAAGCGUGGGGAGCAAAC